CAAAGUCGAGUCGGUUUAAGGAUACGUUCGUUGGGUAGGGGAGCGUUCUGUAAGCCUGCGAAGGUGGCCUGUGAGGGUUGCUGGAGGUAUCAGAAGUGCGAAUGCUGACAUAAGUAACGAUAAAGCGGGUGAAAAGCCCGCUCGCCGGAAGACCAAGGGUUCCUGUCCAACGUUAAUCGGGGCAGGGUGAGUCGACCCCUAAGGCGAGGCCGAAAGGCGUAGUCGAUGGGAAACGGGUUAAUAUUCCCGUACUUGGUGUUACUGCGAAGGGGGGACGGAGAAGGCUAUGUUGGCCGGGCGACGGUUGUCCCGGUUUAAGCGUGUAGGUGUGUGUUCCAGGUAAAUCCGGUUCACUUUAACACUGAGGCGUGACGACGAGGCACUACGGUGCUGAAGCAACAAAUGCCCUGCUUCCAGGAAAAGCCUCUAAGCAUCAGGUAACAUCAAAUCGUACCCCAAACCGACACAGGUGGUCAGGUAGAGAAUACCAAGGCGCUUGAGAGAACUCGGGUGAAGGAACUAGGCAAAAUGGUGCCGUAACUUCGGGAGAAGGCACGCUGACACGUAGGUGAAGUGAUUUACUCAUGGAGCUGAAGUCAGUCGAAGAUACCAGCUGGCUGCAACUGUUUAUUAAAAACACAGCACUGUGCAAACACGAAAGUGGACGUAUACGGUGUGACGCCUGCCCGGUGCCGGAAGGUUAAUUGAUGGGGUCAGCGCAAGCGAAGCUCCUGAUCGAAGCCCCGGUAAACGGCGGCCGUAACUAUAACGGUCCUAAGGUAGCGAAAUUCCUUGUCGGGUAAGUUCCGACCUGCACGAAUGGCGUAAUGAUGGCCAGGCUGUCUCCACCCGAGACUCAGUGAAAUUGAACUCGCUGUGAAGAUGCAGUGUACCCGCGGCAAGACGGAAAGACCCCGUGAACCUUUACUAUAGCUUGACACUGAACAUUGAGCCUUGAUGUGUAGGAUAGGUGGGAGGCUUUGAAGCGUGGACGCCAGUCUGCGUGGAGCCGACCUUGAAAUACCACCCUUUAAUGUUUGAUGUUCUAACGUGGACCCGUGAUCCGGGUUGCGGACAGUGUCUGGUGGGUAGUUUGACUG
rnacentral:rRNA from 1 species